rnacentral:siRNA from 1 species
UUUGAGAGUGAGCAUAUGUGGA